GGCUUCUUGAAUAAAAUAAAUAAGAGGUUUUACCUGCCCAGUGAUGUAAUUUAAAUGGCCGCAGUAUUUUGACUGUGCUAAGGUAGCAUAAUCAUUUGUUUUAUAAUUGGAAACUAGUAUGAAUGGUUGGACGGAAGUUAAGCUGUCUCUAUAAAAUUUUAUAAAAAUUAAUUUUUAAGUGAAAAAGCUUAAAUUUAAUUAAAAGACAAGAAGACCCUAUCGAGUUUUAUUUAAGUAUAUUUUUAUGAGUAUAGAAAAUUUUGUUGGGGCGACUUAGGAACAUUAGAAACUUCCUAAUUAUAUUUUAGUAUUUAUAAUGAUCCAAGAUUUUUGAAUUAAGAUUAAAUUACCGUAGGGAUAACAGCGUUAUUUUUUUUUUGAGUUCUAAUUAAAAGAAGAGUUUGCGACCUCGAUGUUGGACUAAAAUUUCCUAAAGAUGUAGUAG
rnacentral:rRNA from 1 species